rnacentral:rRNA from 1 species
UACGGAGGGGUGCAAGCGUUUGUCCGGAAUCACUGGGCGUAAAGGGCGCGUAGGCGGCUCAUGAAGGCUGUGGUGAAAGUCCGGGGCUCAACCUCGGAUCGGCCGUGGCGACUCGUGGGCUGGAGCACUGUAGAGGCGGGUGGAAUUCCGGGUGUAGCGGUGGAAUGCGUAGAGAUCCGGAAGAACACCAGUGGCGAAGGCGGCCCGCUGGGCAGUGGCUGCGGCUGAGGCGCGACAGCGUGGGGGAGCAAACAGGG